CACAAUGAGCGUGGGAGUGUGGGAAUAUCUGCAACAUACAGUUUUCAAUUCCUCUGGAUAUGUACACAGAAGUAGAACUAAUGUACAACAUGGCGAUUGCAUUUUUCCUUUCCCAAGGAACCUCCGCCUUAUUUUCAAGAACAGCUGAAAUCAUUUGUGACAUCAUCAGUAGAACACAGGUGUUCUUUCUGCAUUUCUUCACCGACAUCUGUUUCUCAUCAUUAUCUUGGUUGUUUGACACAGGGCUCUCUUUGUAGUCCAGGCUGGCCUUGAACUAUCCCUUCCUGCUUUAGCCUCCCAAGUAUUAGGAUGAUAGCUGUGUGUAACCAUACCAGCCUUCUUUCAUUAUUUUGCCCAUAGCCAUCUUCAUAGUUCUGCGUUGGUUCUGGAUGUUACUUCCUACCUGGCUUUGGGACAUUGUCUCCUGUUCUGGCUGCCUUCGCACUCUAUCAAUGAUGUCUUACUCUGCAGCAUCCUCUUCUAUCUGUUUGGAGACAACUUUCAUCAUGUUUUAGCUAAGGAUUUGCGCUGUGGGCUUAUCGUUUACUGGGGUUGCUGAAGUUUAAAAGGAAAACGGGCAGUAACGUGUCUGAGUCAACUCUUCUUGAAGAUGACAUCUCAUUCUGUCUUGCUAUUUAGGCCUGAGUGUCAACUUGUCAAGACCACGACUAUUGGAAAACUGUUUGAUGGCUGAAACUCUGUGGUGGAGCCCUGCUGUGCUGUAUCACAAAGUCACUUGAAAACCUAAAAUUCAAGUUCAAUAAAACAUUGAUAUUUUAAUUGCGUAGGCAUUCCUAUACCUUGAA
ensembl:lncRNA